rnacentral:rRNA from 1 species
CAGUAGCCGCGGUAAUACAGAGGGUGCGAGCGUUAAUCGGAUUUACUGGGCGUAAAGCGUGCGUAGGCGGUCUGUCAAGUCAGAUGUGAAAUCCCCGGGCUUAACCUGGGAACUGCAUUUGAAACUGGCAGGCUAGAGUCUUGUAGAGGGGGGUAGAAUUCCAGGUGUAGCGGUGAAAUGCGUAGAGAUCUGGAGGAAUACCGGUGGCGAAGGCGGCCCCCUGGACAAAGACUGACGCUCAGGUGCGAAAGCGUGGGGAGCAAACAGGAUUAGAUACCCCUGUAGUCCCUGUCUCUUAUAA